UACGUAGGUGGCAAGCGUUAUCCGGAUUUAUUGGGCGUAAAGGGAACGCAGGCGGUCUUUUAAGUCUGAUGUGAAAGCCUUCGGCUUAACCGGAGUAGUGCAUUGGAAACUGGGAGACUUGAGUGCAGAAGAGGAGAGUGGAACUCCACGUGUAGCGGUGAGAUGCGUAGAUAUAUGGAAGAACACCAGUGGCGAAAGCGGCUCUCUGGUCUGUAACUGACGCUGAGGUUCGAAAGCGUGGGUAGCAAACAGG
rnacentral:rRNA from 1 species